GACGAACGCUGGCGGCGUGCUUAACACAUGCAAGUCGAACGGAAAGGCCCUGCUUGCAUGGUACUCGAGUGGCGAACGGGGGAGUAACACGCGGGUGAACCGUCCUGCACUUCGGGAUAAGCCUGGGGAACAGGGGCUAAUAUAGGGUAGAAGCCAUCCUGAGGGAGAGGGGUGGAAAGUUUUUUCGGUGUGGGAUGGGCUCGCGGCCUAUCAGCUUGUUGGUGGGGUAGUGGCCUACCAAGGCGGCGACGGGUAGCCGGCCUGAGAGGGUGGCCGGCCACAUUGGGACUGAGAUACGGCCCAGACUCCUACGGGAGGCAGCAGUGGGGAAUAUUGCACAAUGGGCGCAAGCCUGAUGCAGCGACGCCGCGUGGGGGAUGACGGCCUUCGGGUUGUAACCCCCUUUCGCUAGGGACGAAGCUUUUGUGACGGUACCUAGAGAAGAAGCACCGGCUAACUACGUG
rnacentral:rRNA from 1 species